rnacentral:lncRNA from 12 species
CAGGCCCAGGAGGGGAACAAGGGAUCCUGGGUCCCUGAAGACCCCAUGCUAACCACAUUCCCUAUCAGCUACCUUCCUCCUCUUUUUCCAACCUCUUCCCCAGUGAGAAUUCUACUUAAUCUUUCCUGCUGGUCAGAACUCCUUACUCCCACCUUACAGAUACCUCUUUUCUAAGGGGUUACACUUCAAAGAGAGACACGAUGAUUUAUGGCUUAGUCCUAAUGGUGUAUGGAGUGGGGACAACACAAAGAGAUAGGACAGUGCAAUGAACGGGUAUUCUUUUUGCUACCAGACUGAAGCCACUUCCUAUUGUUGGAGAAUACCUUUAACAACAAUGAAAGAGAGGACAUAUCUAGUCCCUCUUUCAUAUGGCCCCAAUUAAUAUGUAUCCCCCAAACAAGGAGGAAUAGCUACCCUGAUGGAAUGGCCAAGGAGACACACGUUGCUCCACAUUUACUACUGGGUGAGGAAGGAUACCGUGCUCUAAAGGCAGUAACCAAGCCCCAUGUCUCUUUCACUUCCUGCAGCUACACAGUGGGCUUUCUUCUGCUUCCUGUCUGCUAUCACAUGGCUCAGCAAACCAGGCAAGCCCGCUUCUCAACUGAUCCUAAACUCCUCUAUGCUAGUCCAACAAUUGGUAGAAAAAGUGUUUGCGGAACCAUCUCUUGGAGGAAACAGCAGAUCGACAUAUUUAUGUACAACUUUUCACAGUAGAAUUCCUUGACUCUCUGAGGAACAUUUCCAAAUACAGCACAGACCCUCUGCCCUUGGCCUUAUUGGAUGGUUACAUCCAAACUAAAAGUGUCCUCCUGUUAAACAACCUGGUGAUUUCUGCCCUAGAGGUUCUACCCUAGUUAGAAAGCAGUGGUACAGCAUCACCACAAGAGGGAGUACAGAGCCACAGAAGCAUCUCAUUCAUUGUUUUUAAGGCUAAGUUCUGCCUUUCUGGGGAAAAAAGACUUUUUCUGUUUCUAUUUCCCCUGACUCUUUCCCCUUCUAAAAGCCCCGAGGACUUCUGGUAAAGGCAGGGCAAAUAUCUGCAGUUCUCUGUAAAGAUGAGGAAACUAUCGCUGGGAGCAGCUGAUUUGUCUCACUGCUGACUUUCCCAAGAAUGCUCUCCAGUACUGAUGCACGCUGAGGUGGGUUCCUGUGUCAAUGCUGAAGACACUCUCCAGGGCCUGUCUCUGCUCUCUGAUUUGCCCCCAGAGCCCAAAUGCCUGGUUUAUAAGACUACUUGCUACGCUCAGUGAUUCAAAGAGUCCUUGAAUUAAUUUAUUGUGGCACUAAGGCAACUAGGUAGUACAGAAGCCAAUCCUUCACUAAGCACUCAGUGAGCAAGAGAAAGGUCAGAUUUAGAGCCUGGGAAACACACGUCUCUUGGAAUGACAUACAUAGAAAUCCCCCAGUAUGAUCUGCACUCAUUGGUGAGUCCUUUGUGCCUGGGGAAGUUCUGAAAUUCUGAGCCUCAUAAAUGGUGGUGGCACCCUGUACCUAAUUACCAUAUAGAACAUUUGGGGAUUUUUUUUUUUUUCAUGAUUAGCCCAACCUGGAAAAAGAAUAAUAAAUAGAGCUGAGUAAGAUAGUUUUCCCUCA